rnacentral:rRNA from 1 species
CGCCUUAUACUCCUACGGGAGGCAGCAGUGGGGAAUAUUGGACAAUGGGCGAAAGCCUGAUCCAGCCAUGCCGCGUGUGUGAAGAAGGUCUUCGGAUUGUAAAGCACUUUAAGUUGGGAGGAAGGGCAUUAACCUAAUACGUUAGUGUCUUGACGUUACCGACAGAAUAAGCACCGGCUAACUCUGUGCCAGCAGCCGCGGUAAUACAGAGGGUGCAAACGUUAAUCGGAAUCACUGGGCGUAAAGCGCGCGUAGGUGGUUUGUUAAGUUGAAUGUGAAAUCCCCGGGCUCAACCUGGGAACUGCAUCCAAAACUGGCAAGCUAGAGUAUGGUAGAGGGUAGUGGAAUUUCCUGUGUAGCGGUGAAAUGCGUAGUUAUAGGAAGGAACACCAGUGGCGAAGGCGACUACCUGGACUGAUACUGACACUGAGGUGCGAAAGCGUGGGGAGCAAACAGGAUUAGAAACCCCAGUAGUCCACGUACCA